GCUUUCUGGACAUGGGUGGUUUGAUUACUAAGUGUGGGAUUCUGGCUGGAGAGCUCUGAGACAGCUACCAUGAAGUUGAGCCACAUCACUCAACUUUAUGCCACUCUAUUUCUCUUAUGUUACCCCCAACUUCUGCAAAGACUUGUCUAAAUGGCAUGGGCUUGACUUGGUUUUGUUGCUAGGAAAGGGGCAUCUUUCUUCAUUAACCCUGAGUUGUUCAGGACAUGUAGUCCUGCCAAGGAUAAGAAGUAGGGACAGUCACACAGAAACCCCAAGGCAAAGGUUUGGGGUUGGGCACAGGGGUAUGGUUCUCUCUCUGCAGCCAACCUUGGGGAGGAGCUCUGUUUGACCUCAAGGAAGCCUAAAUCUUCUUACAGCCCAGACUGGAACUGGAGCCUACCAAACCAUUUUCCAAUGUGUAGAAGAGUUCCAGUUUCUCCACAUUCCUGUCAAUACUUGCUUUUUUGUAGGUUCCAUCAGAUUUUCUACAUAGGCAAUCAUGUGUCUCCAGGUCCACUGGGCUUGACCCUGGGCCAGGCUGAAGUCAGCAGAAAGGGCAUCACUGCCUGCAGGGAGGGACUGAGAAGAAGAGCAAGCACAGAGCACAGAAGCCAGAGCCUGCCAGGGGAGCCUUGGGAAACCCAAAGCUAGGGGUCAUCUGAGAAGAGUGAUAUCUUUGGCAAAAUCCAAAGUCUGGAGAAAACAAAUCCAAACUGGAGAGGAAGGAGAGAAGGGCCAGGCUGUGCAGAGGCAUGGCCCAGGGCAGAACAGGAUGCCACGCUGAAGCUGAACACUGUUCCUGAUGCCUCGACAGCUUACUCCACACCAGAAAGCCUGCCUUGUGCCUUGUUACAAGUUUCCUGUCCAGUCCUUUUCCUUUUAGCUUCAAUGUCCCACGCAUCCUCUCAUCCAUUCACUCAACAGUCAUUUGUUAACCCAUGAGUCAAGACUCAAGCUAGGCAUGAGCGAUAGAAAGGGUAAGAAUAAGCCAGUAAACAUAGAAGUUGCCUUUGUGGAGCUCAGAGACUACUGAGGGAGGCAGAUAAACACAACCAAAGUUAUGGGACAAUGGGAUUAACUACAUAGGAAAGUGACUUAGAAAGAUCUUUGAAGCUAAGAAUAGCAGUGCUAGCUCUGCCUAGGUGAGUCAGAGAGUAGUCCUUUAAUUAUAUUCCCUACAAAAUAAGUGAGUUCUUUAGGGAAAGGGGAAAUAAAGGGUGGGAGGGCCCUGGCUCCAUUGCUGAAUUCUCUAUGGCUAACUCAGGGCCUGGCACAUAGUCACAGUUCAAGUUGGUUUUGCAAUGGACUGACAUUGACUUUUCAGUUUUCUCUAUUUUUAUCCAUUUUAUUACUGCUGCCAGAUUAUUUCCCAAAGCAUAGAGCAAACAACAGGCAGUUCUCCAGCGGUAAGCUUCUCCACUGCACCAAAACAUUCUCAGAAUUAGGAGUGUAUUCUCUAGCCCUGUGGAUCUCUCAGUUGUUUUUGCUUUUGUUUCUAUUUUGGUGGCUAGCAACAGAAAACAACCACGGCUCCUGAAAGCAAAAACAUUUUUAAUUGAAAGCCUAUGAGAGAUUCAAAAAAUAGAAACAGGAGGACCAGACUUCCAAAACGACAAGACUCAGGAUAGUUCAGGGAUGUGGAGAACUUGAAUUGAUGAUGGCCUGUGCCUUUGGGGUGCAGUUACUGGGGCGAACGGAAGCCCAGGGCAAUCACACUUCCGGUUUCUCCUCUCAGACAAAAAUUCCAAGGAGAGAACAGUGGAUUGACCUGGCUUGGUCCCAUCCUGACUUAUUGGUCAGCAAAGAUAGGAGCAAGUUAGGACAACUUGGUUGACAGCCACACUAAAAAGCUACCUUAUGGAGAAAGGGCCUCCAGCACAAAAUUAGGGAGCCGUUACCAGAAGAUGAGGUGGACGCCAGGCAGGCAGAAGCAAAAACAAACAACAAGGUGAAAAAGCACAAAGAGUCAAAAAUGUUUUUGACCACUCAAGCAGUAAAAAAUAUCUCC